AGUGAACGCUGGCGGUAGGCCUAACACAUGCAAGUCGAACGGCAGCACAGUAAGAGCUUGCUCUUACGGGUGGCGAGUGGCGGACGGGUGAGGAAUACAUCGGAAUCUACUUUUUCGUGGGGGAUAACGUAGGGAAACUUACGCUAAUACCGCAUACGACCUACGGGUGAAAGCAGGGGAUCUUCGGACCUUGCGCGAUUGAAUGAGCCGAUGUCGGAUUAGCUAGUUAGCGGGGGAAAGGCCCACCAAGGCGACGAUCCGUAGCUGGUCUGAGAGGGUGAUCAGCCACACUGGAACUGAGACACGGUCCAGACUCCUACAGGAGGCAGCAGUGGGGAAUAUUGGACAAUGGGCGCAAGCCUGAUCCAGCCAUACCGCGUGGGUGAAGAAGGCCUUCUGGUUGUAAAGCCCUUUUGUUGGGAAAGAAAAGCAGCAGGUUAAUACCCCGCUGUUCUGACGGUACCCAAAGAAUAAGCACCGGCUAACUUCGUG
rnacentral:rRNA from 1 species